GGAGAGUUUGAUCAUGGCUCAGAACGAACGCUGGCGGCAGGCUUAACACAUGCAAGUCGAGCGACCCUUUCGGGGGGAGCGGCGGACGGGUGAGUAACGCGUGGGAACGUACCCUUUUCUACGGAAUAGCAUUUGGAAACGAAUGGUAAUACCGUAUACACCCUUCGGGGGAAAGAUUUAUCGGAAAAGGAUCGGCCCGCGUUAGAUUAGGUAGUUGGUGGGGUAACGGCCUACCAAGCCACCGAUCUAUAGCUGGUUUGAGAGGAUGAUCAGCCACACUGGGACUGAGACACGGCCCAGACUCCUACGGGAGGCAGCAGUGGGGAAUCUUGGACAAUGGGGGAAACCCUGAUCCAGCCAUGCCACGUGAGUGAAGAAGGCCCUAGGGUCGUAAAACUCUUUCAACUGUGAAGAUAAUGACGGUAGCAGUAGAAGAAGUCCCGGCUAACUCCGUGCCAGCAGCCGCGGUAAUACGGAGGGGACUAGCGUUGUUCGGAAUUACUGGGCGUAAAGCGUACGUAGGCGGAUUAGUAAGUUAGAGGUGAAAUCCCGGGGCUUAACCCCGGAACUGCCUUUAAAACUGCUAGUCUUGAGGUCGAGAGAGGCGAGUGGAAUUCCAAGUGUAGAGGUGAAAUUCGUAGAUAUUUGGAGGAACACCAGCGGCGAAGGCGGCUCGCUGGCUCGAUACUGACGCUGAGGUACGAAAGUGUGGGGAGCAAACAGGAUUAGAUACCCUGG
rnacentral:rRNA from 1 species